GAAUCAAAAAAAGAAAAGAAACCCAGUUAUGGUUAUUCGUUAGAGAAUUGGAAAUAUUAAAGUGUAGUCUCCUAAAGAAGGAAAUUGGAAGGAAAAGGGAAGGCAAAGGAACGUAAUGGUAACGCUCGCAUUGAGUUUUCUUUUUCUCUCUGGUUCUUCCAAAUGGAAAAUUGAUUCUUUGAGAUUUGUGUAAGAAAUGAACUGGUGAUGGAUACGUGGAUUAGUGGGGUCAUCUCGCGACCCAGUGGCAAUUUACUCUGUAUGAGUUGGCAGCUGCUCCAGAACCAUCC
rnacentral:lncRNA from 1 species